rnacentral:lncRNA from 1 species
GGAAAAAUGGUUCAGUGGUCUUAAGAUAACAGCUUUGCCUUCAGAGGAAGCAUUACUGAUCUAGAUUCUUGUAUUUUGUAGGAUCCAGUACUACACCACCUACAGACAAGCGUACUGCAUGGAACAACAGCCCGUCUACAAGUGCUGCCCUGGUUGGAGCCAGUGGGACAAUGAACCUGGCUGCCUAUGCUGCGGUGGGAACAUGUUUCAAUGGAAGGAGGUGCUCAGACCGUGAGGCCAGCAGAGCCAGUGUUCAGAGGGUUUUCAAGGCCCCCACUGUCAAUAUGAUCUCCAACAAAUGCCAGCAUUAACUAGAUGCAACAAACACAACUUUGAAGCAUCUGUAUGAAUUCAUGAAAACACUAACCAUCAGUAAUCUUGUGCUGUUUCCAAGCUUAGGGAAGCUGACACAGUUUGAAAGGACAAUAUUCAUCCGUCAGACUAUGGGUGCUGCUUUUGCAUCUUUUACACAUAAUUGUCAAAAAAUCUUAUUAAUAUCCAACUAUGGGCCAAUGCAUGAAAAUAUAUUUGGAACAUUGCAGAAAAGAUUCAGAGACAAACAGGAACCCUCAUUUUUGACCUCAAUUUACUGCUAUCCCACACAAAUUUGGUAUUCUCAAUUUCUGAAGAAAUUAUCUGUGUCACACAUGUAGACUUACGGUCCAGAGGUUAUAGGAAAUGUCACUUUCUAUUAAAAAGGAACCUACCUCAUACCUGGCUUUGUGCUUUAUUCCUUGUAUUAACAAUGGUGUGUCUCCAGCCUUAAUUCUGCUUUCCAGUCCUGGGGGAGGGGCACUAUAUUUUAAUUUUUUAUUGGUUGUGGUAGAGUUUCAGUAGAUGCAUAUGAAGCCCUCCCUAUAUGCUUCUUGAUCCAUUCACUCUGCAGAGAAGUACAUAUGCUUUCGUGUGUGUUUGUGUGUGUGUGCGUGUGUGUGUGUGUGUAUUGGUUGAUGAGAAGGAAAUGUCAACAGUUCAUUUCAAUUGAAGCAGCA